rnacentral:rRNA from 1 species
GGAAUGGACCGGUUCCGAUUGGGUUGAGGUCCAGUUUUUCCGGUGUACCGGCUUUCAUCAUCGCAUCAGCAUAUUCUCCGUCGUGAAGAGGGAAACAACCCAGACCGCCAGCUAAGGUCCCAAAGUCAUGGUUAAGUGGGAAACGAUGUGGGAAGGCCCAGACAGCCAGGAUGUUGGCUUAGAAGCAGCCAUCAUUUAAAGAAAGCGUAAUAGCUCACUGGUCGAGUCGGCCUGCGCGGAAGAUGUAACGGGGCUAAACCAUGCACCGAAGCUGCGGCAGCGACGCUGAUGCGUUGUUGGGUAGGGGAGCGUUCUGUAAGCCUGUGAAGGUGUACUGUGAGGUAUGCUGGAGGUAUCAGAAGUGCGAAUGCUGACAUAAGUAACGAUAAAGCGGGUGAAAAGCCCGCUCGCCGGAAGACCAAGGGUUCCUGUCCAACGUUAAUCGGGGCAGGGUGAGUCGACCCCUAAGGCGAGGCCGAAAGGCGUAGUCGAUGGGAAACAGGUUAAUAUUCCUGUACUUGGUGUUACUGCGAAGGGGGGACGGAGAAGGCUAUGUUGGCCGGGCGACGGUUGUCCCGGUUUAAGCGUGUAGGCUGGUUUUCCAGGCAAAUCCGGAAAACUAAGGCUGAGGCGUGAUGACGAGGCACUACGGUGCUGAAGCAACAAAUGCCCUGCUUCCAGGAAAAGCCUCUAAGCAUCAGGUAACAUCAAAUCGUACCCCAAACCGACACAGGUGGUCAGGUAGAGAAUACCAAGGCGCUUGAGAGAACUCGGGUGAAGGAACUAGGCAAAAUGGUGCCGUAACUUCGGGAGAAGGCACGCUGAUAUGUAGGUGAAGCGACUUGCUCGUGGAGCUGAAAUCAGUCGAAGAUACCAGCUGGCUGCAACUGUUUAUUAAAAACACAGCACUGUGCAAACACGAAAGUGGACGUAUACGGUGUGACGCCUGCCCGGUGCCGGAAGGUUAAUUGAUGGGGUCAGCGCAAGCGAAGCUCUUGAUCGAAGCCCCGGUAAACGGCGGCCGUAACUAUAACGGUCCUAAGGUAGCGAAAUUCCUUGUCGGGUAAGUUCCGACCUGCACGAAUGGCGUAAUGAUGGCCAGGCUGUCUCCACCCGAGACUCAGUGAAAUUGAACUCGCUGUGAAGAUGCAGUGUACCCGCGGCAAGACGGAAAGACCCCGUGAACCUUUACUAUAGCUUGACACUGAACAUUGAGCCUUGAUGUGUAGGAUAGGUGGGAGGCUUUGAAGUGUGGACGCCAGUCUGCAUGGAGCCGACCUUGAAAUACCACCCUUUAAUGUUUGAUGUUCUAACGUUGACCCGUGAUCCGGGUUGCGGACAGUGUCUGGUGGGUAGUUUGACUGGGGCGGUCUCCUCCUAAAGAGUAACGGAGGAGCACGAAGGUUGGCUAAUCCUGGUCGGACAUCAGGAGGUUAGUGCAAUGGCAUAAGCCAGCUUGACUGCGAGCGUGACGGCGCGAGCAGGUGCGAAAGCAGGUCAUAGUGAUCCGGUGGUUCUGAAUGGAAGRGCCAKGGGUAUGCCGUCGUACCGAUGGAAAACGACGUGCUGAAGGUGGUGAAAUCCAGCGCUGCGAAAGUCGAGCCGCUGCCGCUGGUCGGUGAAGGCAGCGACAACUACGCGGGCGAUGAAAUGGUCACCAAAGUAGUGCCGGUACGUAAUGUGUCGGUACGCGAGCUGGCACCGAUUCUGCGCCAGAUGAUCGACAGCGCAGGCUCAGGCAAUGUUGUUAAUUACGAUCCGGAACUGUCGAAGCUGGGGCUUACGUCUACACGCUGGCUAAAGGGAAGGGGAAUGACGAGAAAAACUGGUAUCUGACCAGUAAAUGGGACGGCGUAACGCCAGCGGAUACGCCCGACCCCAUCAAUAAUCCCCCUGUUGUGGAUCCGGAAGGCCCAUCAGUUUAUCGCCCGGAUCGGGAUCGGCGGUUCUGACCUCGGCCCGUACAUGGUGACCGAAGCACUGCGUC